rnacentral:rRNA from 1 species
CAAUAGCGUAUAUUAAAGUUGUUGCAGUUAAAAAGCUCGUAGUUGGAUUUCUGGUGGGAGCGAUCGGUCUGGCGCUUAGCGCGAGUACUUGCAUCGUCUCCGGCCAUCCUUGGGGAGAUUCUGUCUGGCAUUAGGUUGUCGGGCAGAGGAUCCUCAUCGUUUACUGUGAAAAAAUUAGAGUGUUCAAAGCAGGCUUAUGCCGUUGAAUAUAUUAGCAUGGAAUAAUAAGAUAGGACUUUGGUACUAUUUUGUUGGUUUGCGCACCAAAGUAAUGAUUAAUAGGGACAGUUGGGGGUAUUCGUAUUCCGUUGUCAGAGGUGAAAUUCUUGGAUUUACGGAAGACGAACUACUGCGAAAGCAUUUACCAAGGAUGUUUUCAUUAA